GCCCGCCCCGCCGGCCGAGUGCGCUCGUCGCCCGCCGCGCUCCGGGCGCUCGAGGAGGACGGCGCGGGGGAGGCGCGCGGCUGGGGGGAGCGCACGGGGGCCCGUGCUCCGGGUUCCCUGGGAGGCGCACGGGCCGGCCGGGCGCGGCGGGCGCGCCACCUCCUGGGGCACCAGGGGCGCUUCCGCGCUCGGUCAGGAAGGAGGCUCAGAAAGCGGCCGGGCGGGACGCUGCCCCCGUGCGCCGCCCCGUCCCCUUCGCGGGUUCCCUCCUCCGCCAGCCGGGCGGACGCCCCUCGGGCCCGCGCGCUCCGCUCCUUUGUUCGGGGGCCGUUCCGCACAGCGGCCGGGGCGGCGGGCGUCGAGACGGCCAGGGUCCGGGCGGCGGGGCGCCUGGCGGGGACAAUGAGGCCGUGCGGCCGCGCGCGCGGAGGGCUUCCUCCGGGUCCUCGCGGUGCCGGGGGCGAGCCCGGGGCUGGAAGGCAGGGGCCUCCCGGGUGCUCCCCGCGUGGUCCGGGAAGAGCGAGCGAGCGCCGGAGCCUCGGCUUCCUUUCCUGGGGAGCCAUCCCCGCCCCGCCCGGCCCCUGGGUUCAGGGGCUCCACUGUGACAAUGGACGGGAGCGCGCUUGGUCGUCAGCGGACAGUUACGGGAGCGCCAGGCGCACGCCCGUCCCCGCCCCGCCCGCUCACCUGGAGCUGUCAGGGGAAGAGGUGCUGAUUACUUCCUUGGGGAGAUGAGGCUCGCCAGCCUUACAGCAGUUAUUUCCUCAGGAUGUUUACGUCAGCUCCCCGAGCCUGGGAGGGGGCGCAGCCUGGGCCCCCACUCAGGGCCUGUGGACACCAAGGCAGGAGGGAGAAGGCUCCCCAGGCCUCAGCGUUUGCAUCUUGCCGACACAACAGGCCACUUUCUGGCCUCUCAGCUCUGUGUCUAGGAAUUUAGUAGCCUCCCGAUCGGGCCAACUGAGGGGUUUUUCCCAAACAACACGCUGGAGGUAAAGUUUCACCACUCCUGAGGCCUGUAGACGGGUAAAGGGGGGCUCCCCGCGGGGGAACAGGCCUGCCAUCCAUCCUCCCCUCCAGCCUGCGGUGCUGGACUUCAGGUGGUUGAUCAGAAGCCUGUUGAGAGGGUUGGGUGCUUCAGAGGCCCCCGGAGCAUGGGGCUCAUUCCCAGGUGGGUAAACGCAACACUUUGCGGAAGUGACAUGUUUAAUGUCUUUCUUCCCUACUAGAUGGUGGAGGCAGAGCUGUGCCUGCAGGUGACUGCAGACGUUCAGUGAAUCACACGUCUUAGCCACAUGAAGGAUCAGCUACAGCUCUGAGCCGAGGAGUGCACAGGAAGCUGCCUGCCCUGAGGGGCCCAAGUGCCCUGCGGCUCAGGUCGCCCUCCACAGACCAGAAGGCCUCAGCAAACCUGCAGAGAUCAGCGUGGUCUUCUGAAGACAUCCGUGGAGUCGAAGGCCCUCCUGCGAGGCCAGGAGGGUGAUGAUUAUGGUGAAGAGAGACAAACAGCCCUUGGCGAUGACCGGACAGCAGCCUCAGUCCCACACCCAGGACACGUGUGUAGACGCCUCCGCUCCCUCCAGGCCCUGCUUCCUGCCCUCACAUCCUUGGACACGCUGGGCUAGGUGCACAACCCUCAUGUGGAAGACCCAGUGGACUAUCUGGAGAGGGGUCCACACAGACUCCAAGGGGGCAGCAAGGUCGGGACGCUCUGAAGCACGGGGCCCAGGGCAGGGACCUCUUGUCUGACACAUCACAUAACUUAAAAGAGAGCG
rnacentral:lncRNA from 1 species